rnacentral:lncRNA from 1 species
ACCAAGAACAAGAUAUCAUUCAUGAACAAUGGAUAACUAAGAUGAUCCAUGAUUGUGCAUAUGUAUAUGUAUAGUGAAGGAUUGGUUGCUGACCAUGAUGCCGGGGACGGAAGGAGGGAUCCUCCUCUGGAGGAGCUUGAGGGUGUAGCUGGCGACUUGCUCAGGGGUGGCCCGCUCCUUGCACUCGGCGCCGGGUGUCACCAUGCUGGGCUUGAGGAGGAUGCCCUCGAACAAGACGUUGUUCUGGGCCAUGUAGUAGAAAGUCUCCGCCCACACCUUCUGCGCCACCUCGAAG